rnacentral:lncRNA from 1 species
UGAAUCCAUUCCCAGCCUCACUGCCAGCUCCUGAGACAAAGCCCACGUCAUUCCUUCCCUAGAUUAAUCUCACCAGGAGUCUCAUGAUGGAUCCUCUGCCCCAGGCCAAAUUCCCUUGACAUCCAUCUCCACCUGACCGCCAGAAGUAUCUUUCCAAACAUGGGUCACCAUGCAUGUUUCAGCUUAAAAUCUGCCCAUGAGUCCUCUUUUCCACCAGUGCUGAAAUCAAGCUCCCCUAAAAUGAUUCACGAGGACAUCACACCAGGUGCCCCUCGGAACAGAUGCUCAGCCGAGACGGUUGUGUCGCAGACACCUGGGAGGAGAGGGACUGCAGGUUCCUCAACUCCCUGUGAAAAAAGCAUGCAGACUGUGGAGCUGCCACUUCCCAUGAUCUCAGAGACUUCAUAUGCAUCCAGGUUCACCUAUCACAACCAUAAUGAUCUUGUAUCUCCUUUGGGUUUGUGGGGAGUUUUCUCUCGGCUAUCUACACUCAGUGAACGUGGGAGUGCAGACACCUCAUUGAGAUCCUGACUUCGUUCUUUUAGAUAUAACAUGAACUUCGAGGACAAUAUGCUAAGUGACAUAAGCCAGUCAUCAAAGGGCAAAAACUGCAUGACGCCACUUGUAUGAGGUAUAUAAAGUAGUCAAACUCAUAGAAACAGAGAGUAGAAUGGUAUUUGCCAGGGGCUCAGAGAGGGAAAAAAGGAGAGAUGCUCUUCAACAGUUAGAAACUUUCAGUUUCAUAAAAUGAGUAUGUUCUUCAGAUCUGCUCCAUAUCAUUGUGCCUGUAAUAAGCAGUUCUGUCAUGUACAUUUAAAAAUGUGAUGAGGGUAGAUCUCACCUUAAGUGUUCUUACCACAAUAAAAAUAAAUUGCAAAAUAGGAUAAAGAGGAUGCUGAUUGAAUUAAUUUGACAAGGCCUAACACAGAGAUUGACCCAAAUGCCCAUCUUUUUGUGUCUAAUAAACUGACACUUCAAAGAUGGUUAUAAUACAUCACACCUAGAAUGUGCAGAUUAAACUAAAAUUUAUGGAACACAUGCAUUAUGCACCUAUAAGUUUUCUCCAACAAUAAUGCACACACUAAUAGGAUUCAAUCACUUUGCUAUAAAUUCAAAUUGACAGUUAUAAGGAGUGCCCAAAUAAUUACAAUGUAUGUAAAUUAUUUUUGAAACUAAUAGGCAUCAUGUCCAUGUAAGAUGUUUAUAUAAAGAAUUUUACAUCCUC